GUCCUACGGGGGGCUGCAGUGAGGGAUAUUGGUCAAUGGGGGAAACCCUGAACCAGCGACGCCGCGUGGGUGAAGAAGGCCUUCGGGUCGUAAAGCCCUUUUCCCGCUGACGAGGAAGGACGGUAGGCGGGGAAGAAGUCUCGGCUAACUACGUGCCAGCAGCCGCGGUAAAACGUAGGAGGCAAGCGUUAUCCGGAGUUACUGGGCGUAAAGCGCGCGCAGGCGGCGAAGCAAGUGAGGUGUGAAAUAUCCCGGCUAAACCGGGAGGGGACAUUUCAGACUGCUUGGCUAGAGUGGAGUAGAGGAGCGUGGAAUUCCGGGUGUAGUGGUGAAAUAUGCAGAUAUCCGGAGGAACACCAGAGGUGAAGACGGCGCUCUGGGCUCGAACUGACGCUGAGGCGCGAAAGCUUGGGGAGCGAACGGGAUUAGAUACCCUGGUAGUCUGU
rnacentral:rRNA from 1 species